AGAGUUUGAUCCUGGCUCAGAACGAACGCUGGCGGCGUGCCUAACACAUGCAAGUCGAACGGCAGCACGGGGGCAACCCUGGUGGCGAGUGGCGAACGGGUGAGUAAUGCAUCGGAACGUAUCCUUGAGUGGGGGAUAACGCAGCGAAAGUUGUGCUAAUACCGCAUAAGCUCUGAGGAGGAAAGCGGGGGACCGAAAGGCCUCGCGCUGAAGGAGCGGCCGAUGUCCGAUUAGCUAGUUGGUGAGGUAAAGGCUUACCAAGGCAACGAUCGGUAGCUGGUCUGAGAGGACGACCAGCCACACUGGCACUGAGAUACGGGCCAGACUCCUACGGGAGGCGAC
rnacentral:rRNA from 1 species